rnacentral:rRNA from 1 species
CAGAGGUCUCAAGCGUUGUUCGGAUUCAUUGGGCGUAAAGGGUGCGUAGGCGGUGCGGUAAGUCGGGGGUGAAAUCUCGGAGCUUAACUCCGAAACUGCAUUCGAUACUGCCGUGCUUGAGGACUGGAGAGGAGACUGGAAUUUACGGUGUAGCGGUGAAAUGCGUAGAUAUCGUAAGGAAGACCAGUGGCGAAGGCGGGUCUCUGGACAGUACCUGACGCUGAGGCACGAAGGCCAGGGGAGCAAACGGG